rnacentral:other from 1 species
GUGGCCAAUCCUCUACGAGGCUAACGAGGUUUGCAACC